rnacentral:lncRNA from 1 species
UUUUCUCUAAAUGUUUCAGUAAUCUUUCUUGGUGAACCUCUAGUGGGAGCAGAGUGGCAUUUCAUCAUAAUGUCGCUUUGCAUUCCCAGCCGCCAGUGGUACUAAACAUCUUUUCAUAUGUUAUUGAUAAUUUGUGUGUCUUCAUUAGGGGGAUUUUUAUUUCUAUCUCUUCUAUUUUAAAUUAGACUGUUUUUUAUUACUGAGAUAUAAAUGUUUUUUUUUUUUUUUGCCAAGUUCUUUAUUUUGUAGAUAUAAAUUCUCAAAUACCUCAUGUGGAAACAUGAGAGUCUUUCCAUUUUCUUGAUGAUUUAUUUGAAAAACAGCAUUUUUGAUGAAGUCUAGCUUAUAGCUUAUUAUUUUCUGUGUACAUUCCUUAAUCCAUGGUCUCAUGUUUGUCUGUGAGUUUUACAGUUUUGGCUCUCUCUUAUUGUUUCUAUUGCUGCAACAAAAUACCAUGACCAAAAGGGAGGUUGAGGAGGAAAGGUUUUGUCUUGCACUUCCAUAUUUGUUUAUCAUCAAAUGAAGUCAGGACAAGAACCCAAGACAGGAGCUAUGGAGAGGACAUGGAGGCUACUGCUUUCUAACUUGAUCUCCAUGAUGGCUUGCUCAACCUGCUUUCUUACAGAAACUGGGACCACCAUCUUAGGAAUAGCGUUACCCAUAGUUAGCUGGGCCCUCCUCCAUCAAUCACUAAUUGAGAUAAUGGCUUAUAGUCAGAUCUUAUGAAAUCAAUUUCUCAAUUGAGAUUUCCUCCUUUCAGAUAACUCUAGAGUGUAUAACAAGUUGACAUAAGAGUAGCCAGCACACGUACAUAUAUGUCUUUGAUCCUUUUUGGAUCUUCUAGAUUUUAGUAUUUAUAGAUCAGCAGAUAUAAGCAAUAUUCAUAGGUUCUUCUGUACCUAUACUAGCCUAUGUAGUGAUUCUCUAUAAGAAUUACUAUACCUUAAAAUGUUCCUAUCAGAGAGUUAGAUUGUUUUCCACCUUUGUCAUAGUCCGUGCUUUAUAAAACAUUGCAUACUUCUGCAAACAAGCUGCCGGUAGUGAAAUUACUUUAUCAAGGCAUUUUCGUACUUUACGUUUUGAUAUGUACAUCUUCCUAGAACAUUGUGCUAUUUUAAUCUUUAUCAUGUGUUACAUUAUUUUAUAGAUAUAAUGCUAUAAAGGAAUUUAUUGGAAUGGAGAUUGUUAACACAUCUUAGUUGUUUGCUGUUAAAAUGUUUGCUUUAGAAUAGUAAUAAAAGGAAAUAAAAUAUCUUAUAUUUGAAAGAUUAUCACUCACAAAUUUAUCUAUUUACUAAAAACAUCAAGGCAAAACUUUUUACUACAAUAUAAAACAUUUCUUGAAAAUGAAUUGUAUCUUAAUUUGUAAGGAUACACAUUUCAGAAUUAUUCUAGAAUUAUCUACAAACUUAAAACUUAAAACAUUGGAAAUUUUUUACUUUGGGUAUUUUCUGCAUUUUAAAAUAUUUUUAAUUGACACUGUCACCAUCAGCUCUAAACUAUGGGUUCUUUAUUUAUAGAAGCAAAAUAACAUACUAAUGAAUUUUAGUGAGUCCCCUAGUUCAAAGCCUGUCAUUGUGAUUGUAAUAUCCUGUUUUCUGCUUUUCAACAUUAGUACUAAGCAAAAUCAUCGAUAGUCAUACUUAGUCAUAUGCCAUGUUAGCAGUAUUGAGAUUCAUUAUUCUCUACUGAGUACUAAUGAAAUCUUAUUAGAUAUUUUAGGUGAUUUCAAAGGAAACAAAGUUCUUGGGAUCUAAUUAGUGAGGAAUUCAUAAAGUGAAUAUUUACACUCCCCAAUGUGAGGUUUUUAUUUUACCUUACUUGCAUGUGAAAGCGAUUUCUCUGAAUGUUCAGUUUAUGCCGAGUGUUUAUGUGGUGCUCAUGACACUAUGUGGAGAUGCGUUGUUAAACUUCAGCUGCUCUUAAAGCAUAUCAUUGAAGCUGCCUGGGAGCCCUGUCAUUUUUAAGGGAAACAAUUGGAAGCAAAAUUUAACCUCAAUAAAGGCAGCAUGCCCAGAAGUUACUCU